rnacentral:rRNA from 1 species
UACGAAGGGUGCUAGCGUUGUUCGGAAUUACUGGGCGUAAAGCGCGCGUAGGCGGCUAUUCAAGUCAGAGGUGAAAUCCCUGGGCUCAACCCAGGAAUUGCCUUUGAAACUGUAUAGCUUGAGUGUCGGAGGGGAUAGCGGAAUUGCUAAUGUAGAGGUGAAAUUCGUAGAUAUUAGGAAGAACACCAGUGGCGAAGGCGGCUCACUGGUCCGGUACUGACGCUGAGGUGCGAAAGCGUGGGGAGCAAACAGG